AGUGAACGCUGGCGGUAGGCCUAACACAUGCAAGUCGAACGGCAGCACAGAGGAGCUUGCUCCUUGGGUGGCGAGUGGCGGACGGGUGAGGAAUACAUCGGAAUCUACUCUGUCGUGGGGGAUAACGUAGGGAAACUUACGCUAAUACCGCAUACGACCUACGGGUGAAAGCAGGGGAUCUUCGGACCUUGCGCGAUUGAAUGAGCCGAUGUCGGAUUAGCUAGUUGGCGGGGUAAAGGCCCACCAAGGCGACGAUCCGUAGCUGGUCUGAGAGGAUGAUCAGCCACACUGGGACUGAGACACGGUCCAGACACCUACGGGAGGCAGCAGUGGGGAAUAUUGGACAAUGGGCGCAAGCCUGAUCCAGCCAUACCGCGUGGGUGAAGAAGGCCUUCGGGUUGUAAAGCCCUUUUGUUGGGAAAGAAAUCCAUCUGGUUAAUACCCGGGUGGGAUGACGGUACCCAAAGAAUAAGCACCGGCUAACUUCGUGCCAGCCGCCGCGGUAA
rnacentral:rRNA from 1 species